AGAAAUCAUAAAAAACUAUAAUAAUAAGUGGGCUGCUCAUGGAUAAGAACAAAAAGCGGUGUUCUUCCUGGCUCUUGAAACAGACAUGUUUGAACUCAAGUGCCCCACUGUGGCGGUCAGCUAUUUUUGUGUUUGUCAAUUUCCGCCACCGGAAUCCUCGAUUUCUCGCCCAUUUCGGCCACCACUCAAUUGUUGCCGCCGCUGAACAUUCCUUC
ensembl:ncRNA K12G11.11 ncRNA